CUUCCCGAGAGCGGAGCCGACCCCCGCGGGGCGGGGCGGGGCGGGGCGGGGCGCGGCGGGGGAGCUGGGAAGGCCGGCCGGGGAGGCGGCGGAGCCCGUGCUCCCGCCCCAGCUCCUCUCCCGCAGCAGCCGUGCCGCCCCCGCCCCCCCGGUCUCGGACCCUGCACGCGGGUGGCGAGGGGGCAGCGCGGGCGCGGCGGCGGCCGGGCUCCCAAGUCACGUUCGUUCGCUGCUGCUUUCCCAUCCCCUGCCUCCUCGCCCCUCCUCCCCUCCUCCCUCACCCCAGCCGGCUCCGGAGGCGAUUCCCCUCUAGUGACUGAGACGAUCGCAUCUGGGCGAGCGGCGCUUCGCCUCGCUCGCGUCUUUGUCUCCUCCUCCUCCUCCUCCUGCGAGGCUCUGGGGCCGCGCGCAGGGUCUGCAGCAGCCGCCGCAGCCGCCGGAGCCCAGCGGGGCUCUGCACGGCCGCCCGGGGCCGCACCCUCGCUCGGCGGAGGCGCCGGAGGACGCCGGCGAGCCCCGCGAGCCCCCGCGAGCCCCCGCGAGCCAGCCCCGCACCGCCCGCGUCCCGCGCUCCGCCGCCGCCGCGACCCGGCACGAGCCCUCCCGGCCGGGGCUUGGGGUGGGCGGCCCGGCCCGGCCAGCCGCGGGGUGGGGAGCGCGGCCGCCGCAGUUCUGGCAGCUGCACACCCCCAGGCAGACGCAUCCAACGCCUCCUCCCUGCGCCAGGAGGAUGGAGCAGCCGCCCCGGCCCGGGACUGGCGCAAGACGCUUUGCGGGAAGCGCAGGAAGGCGAGGAAGGCGAGGUUCUUUGCCCCUUUGCACCCCAGCAAUCCGGAAGGCAAGACCGCCUGCGGGAGGGGGCCUAGACUGCUGUGGCAAAGAACGGGCGGCCCCCGGGCUCCGGCGUCCAGGUACCCAAGCAAGGACAGGAAUAAUGAAGAGACACGUGUGUUAGUUGCAACCUUCUGAACCAAGCAAGAAGGAAAUCAACAGUGUGGACAGGGCUGGAACCGUUGGCACGCUUGCUUGUUGGAGUGAAUGAGGAAUGGGCUUGU
rnacentral:lncRNA from 1 species